GUGAGGAUGUGAGUGUCCAGGUGUUUCAGGUGACAGAGCCUCUUUGACCUUUCUUUGUAGUCCACCAUUAGAGCCCCAGCUAUAGCAACAAGAAGGUUGUGCCCAACCGCUCAGUGAGGUCUCGGGGAUGACCCACAGAUGGGUCAUCCAUGCGAGUGAAGGAGAGGCUCCUGGGACACGAGGCACUAUGUAGGGCAAAGCAAAGAGGCAUCUUCAGUAGUGAGGAGCCGAGCCAGCCCAGGGAGAGCAAGCAGGAGUCGGUGGAGCCAGUGGUUGACAGUGUGGACUGCGGUAGCGGACAGCUGGGUUUAAGACCUGGGCACAAUGGAGGAUUCUCUUCAUCUUCCUGUGCCUGUUUCUUCACAAGAGGCUCACUGAUCAUUGGCCCAAACCAAGGGUGAGGAUGGCGUUCAUGCCUAUGCCACGGAGUUACCAUGACUACUACAUCUCUGAUAGGUAGCACAGCUGGGCAGCAUCUGGCACACAGUUAUGAAAAGCAUCCUGAUUUUGUUCCUGUGCCCCAGGGAAGUGACUACCUUCUGAGGAGAGCACCUUUGUCUUAAAGCCAAGGACGUGAUCCCACCAUCCAUGUCAAGGACACUCUCUCUGCUCCAGGCAGGAAGCAAACCUAUUUAUAGACUAAGCUAUGUGCUGGUCUAGGUCAUCAAUAAAUUGCUGCCAUUACCCAGGACUGGGUGGGAAGGAAGCUCGUGGUAAGGCUAUCAUCUCCAGUAAGCUAGUGAGGAGGUGAUUUAAUAGCUUAUCUCAGGUAGUUCUGAACCUCCAUGUUAAACAUCCCCAAGGCCCUUGGAUGAUUCCAGAAGCUAUGUAGUGAUGCUCUGUCACACGCAGGGAUUGGGACUUGGUGGUGGCCAGGGUACAAACAGGCAAGGGUGUGGGAAGACUGCAGUGCUCUGGGAGCAGUCGGGGCCUCUGGGACCCUGCCACAAGCCUACUUCUCUGAGCUGCAUCUCCUGUCAAGAGGCCACAGCCUGGGGACAGCAGAGCUCCUCUCCAGGAACAGGAAGAGCAGCCCAGGAAACCAGACCCCGCGUCUCCAGCCUCAACGACCUCUUCCUGAGCAAAGGUUCAUGGGAUCCUUCCCGGUGAUGAGGCGGUGUGACAGGACUUAGGUUACUGAAAUGGAUGUCUCACUAUAAGAAAAGCUGGGAAGCCAGAUGCUGGUCUCCUCAAGAUGGCAAGAACUAAGGAAGAUGCUCCCAUCUCUCUGCUCAGCUUCCAAGGCAGACUCCAGCCACGGACUCUCAGGGAUCUUCAAAUCAGCUGUAGCCCCAGGAAUGCCCCCCUAGGGAUGAAACCAAGCUACUGUCACGCAGUUGUGCAUGUGCAGUCUUCCGCUAGUUAAUGCCCCUCCUGGAAACCUGGAUGAGGAUACAACGGGGAGGUGACCCGGAGGAACACUGUGGAAGAGCAGGAACUCCAACAGACUUAAUGGCAAUCAUAACAAGCUGUGAGCCCCUGGUCCAUAGACAUCUUGUGUCCUGCCUC
rnacentral:lncRNA from 1 species